rnacentral:rRNA from 1 species
GAUGAACGCUGGCGGCGUGCCUAAUACAUGCAAGUCGAGCGAACGGACGAGAAGCUUGCUUCUCUGAUGUUAGCGGCGGACGGGUGAGUAACACGUGGAUAACCUACCUAUAAGACUGGGAUAACUUCGGGAAACCGGAGCUAAUACCGGAUAAUAUUUUGAACCGCAUGGUUCAAAAGUGAAAGACGGUCUUGCUGUCACUUAUAGAUGGAUCCGCGCUGCAUUAGCUAGUUGGUAAGGUAACGGCUUACCAAGGCAACGAUGCAUAGCCGACCUGAGAGGGUGAUCGGCCACACUGGAACUGAGACACGGUCCAGACUCCUACGGGAGGCAGCAGUAGGGAAUCUUCCGCAAUGGGCGAAAGCCUGACGGAGCAACGCCGCGUGAGUGAUGAAGGUCUUCGGAUCGUAAAACUCUGUUAUUAGGGAAGAACAUAUGUGUAAGUAACUGUGCACAUCUUGACGGUACCUAAUCAGAAAGCCACGGCUAACUACGUGCCAGCAGCCGCGGUAAUACGUAGGUGGCAAGCGUUAUCCGGAAAUAUUGGGCGUAAAGCGCGCGUAGCGGUUUUUUAGUCUGAUGUGAAAGCCCACGGCUCAACCGUGGAGGGUCAUUGGAAACUGGAAAACUUGAGUGCAGAAGAGGAAAGUGGAAUUCCAUGUGUAGCGGUGAAAUGCGCAGAGAUAUGGAGGAACACCAGUGGCGAAGGCGACUUUCUGGUCUGUAACUGACGCUGAUGUGCGAAAGCGUGGGGAUCAAACAGGAUUAGAUACCCUGGUAGUCCACGCCGUAAACGAUGAGUGCUAAGUGUUAGGGGGUUUCCGCCCCUUAGUGCUGCAGCUAACGCAUUAAGCACUCCGCCUGGGGAGUACGACCGCAAGGUUGAAACUCAAAGGAAUUGACGGGGACCCGCACAAGCGGUGGAGCAUGUGGUUUAAUUCGAAGCAACGCGAAGAACCUUACCAAAUCUUGACAUCCUUUGACAACUCUAGAGAUAGAGCCUUCCCCUUCGGGGGACAAAGUGACAGGUGGUGCAUGGUUGUCGUCAGCUCGUGUCGUGAGAUGUUGGGUUAAGUCCCGCAACGAGCGCAACCCUUAAGCUUAGUUGCCAUCAUUAAGUUGGGCACUCUAAGUUGACUGCCGGUGACAAACCGGAGGAAGGUGGGGAUGACGUCAAAUCAUCAUGCCCCUUAUGAUUUGGGCUACACACGUGCUACAAUGGACAAUACAAAGGGCAGCGAAACCGCGAGGUCAAGCAAAUCCCAUAAAGUUGUUCUCAGUUCGGAUUGUAGUCUGCAACUCGACUACAUGAAGCUGGAAUCGCUAGUAAUCGUAGAUCAGCAUGCUACGGUGAAUACGUUCCCGGGUCU